AACGAACGCUGGCGGCAUGCCUAACACAUGCAAGUCGAACGAGAUCUUCGGGUCUAGUGGCGCACGGGUGCGUAACGCGUGGGAAUCUGCCCUUUGGUUCGGAAUAACAGUUGGAAGCGACUGCUAAUACCGGAUGAUGACGAAAGUCCAAAGAUUUAUCGCCAGAGGAUGAGCCCGCGUAGGAUUAGCUAGUUGGUGUGGUAAAGGCGCACCAAGGCGACGAUCCUUAGCUGGUCUGAGAGGAUGAUCAGCCACUCUGGGACUGAGACACGGCCCAGACUCCUACGGGAGGCAGCAGUGGGGAAUAUUGGACAAUGGGCGAAAGCCUGAUCCAGCAAUGCCGCGUGAGUGAUGAAGGCCUUAGGGUUGUAAAGCUCUUUUACCCGGGAUGAUAAUGACAGUACCGGGAGAAUAAGCUCCGGCUAACUCCGUGCCAGCAGCCGCAGUAA
rnacentral:rRNA from 1 species